AAACUUUCAACAACGGAUCUCUUGGUUCUGGCAUCGAUGAAGAACGCAGCGAAAUGCGAUAAGUAAUGUGAAUUGCAGAUUUCAGUGAAUCAUCGAAUCUUUGAACGCACAUUGCGCCCUCUGGUAUUCCGGAGGGCAUGCCUGUUCGAGCGUCAUUU
rnacentral:rRNA from 1 species